UACAGAGGUCUCAAGCGUUGUUCGGAUUCAUUGGGCGUAAAGGGUGUGUAGGUGGCGCCGUAAGUCGGGUGUGAAAUCUCGGGGCUUAACUCCGAAACUGCAUUCGAUACUGCGGUGCUUGAGGACUGGAGAGGAGACUGGAAUUCAUGGUGUAGCAGUGAAAUGCGUAGAGAUCAUGAGGAAGACCAGUGGCGAAGGCGGGUCUCUGGACAGUUCCUGACACUGAGACACGAAGGCCAGGGGAGCAAACAGG
rnacentral:rRNA from 1 species